CGUCACUCGCUCUGAGACCUUGAAGUAGUUGUUCCCCUUGCAGACAAGGGCCGCGGUUUUUCUGGAGCGAUGGGUUACGGUGCUUUGUGGGUGUCAGUUGUUGAUGUGUGCAGAGGGUCCCUGGUUCGAGCCUUGGAAGGGGCAAGAGGGACGGAAGCUAUACUAUUUCAGCCUCAAGAAAUUCACAUCAACGGAGACCAGGGCUACCCAUUAAAAACCAUGGCUGAUGACUCCCCUCACAAACCAACAAGAUGCACGGUUUGCUACAUUGUCAAGGCUUGCAGUGUGUGCCACAACAUUACAUAAAAAAAUGGCAUUCCACUGAAUGAUCCACCCAGAUCCGAUGAGCCCAUGCCUGACGGAGUGUUUCCCACCACCCAUAGCUCUGGAACUGAAGACAAGAGUCAAUAUCAUACAACGGUUUAAAGUACUGCGUCAGACAAAACAUGCCGCACAGCUGAAGUGCUCGCCAAAGCAGACACACUUCUUGUAGGCCUGGGGAUGGCUGAGGGGGUCAGGCAAA